rnacentral:rRNA from 1 species
GACGAACGCUGGCGGCGUGCCUAACACAUGCAAGUCGAGCGAAUGAAGUUCCUUCGGGAAUGGAUUUAGCGGCGGACGGGUGAGUAACACGUGGGUAACCUGCCUCAUAGAGGGGAAUAGCCUUCCGAAAGGGAGAUUAAUACCGCAUAAGAUUGUAGUACCGCAUGGUACAGCAAUUAAAGGAGCAAUCCGCUAUGAGAUGGGCCCGCGGCGCAUUAGCUAGUUGGUGAGGUAACGGCUCACCAAGGCGACGAUGCGUAGCCGACCUGAGAGGGUGAUCGGCCACAUUGGGACUGAGACACGGCCCAGACUCCUACGGGAGGCAGCAGUGGGGAAUAUUGCACAAUGGGGGAAACCCUGAUGCAGCAACGCCGCGUGAGUGAUGACGGCCUUCGGGUUGUAAAGCUCUGUCUUCAGGGACGAUAAUGACGGUACCUGAGGAGGAAGCCACGGCUAACUACGUGCCAGCCGCCGCAGUAA